GAAUACAUUGUAACACUUUGGGGUAUCCACCCAGUGUUAUAAACAGCUGAGUAGCAUAUUAUAUAGGUACUUUAUAGGUUAGAAAAUGGUAUGUUUGUUUUGGUAAGAUUUGGUAGUUGAAAUGUCUUCGACACGGAUGUCAUAGUGGGUCAGUCAAGAACUGAGACCUGUAGUGAUAUUUUCAACUUUACAUAUACGCUUUUAGCUAUAUUGAGUGGACAAAACUUACCGGAGCGGUAGGUCAGUCUGUGCGUUCACUCCGUUGCAUUUUGCGCAUCCAUGUCGUGUUCCUGCGUUGUGCUAGGACACAGGCACUUUGCUUUCGUUGGGGUAUAUCCAUUUCACAAUUGAAAUACAUUUUAAAACAUAUAAAUACCACGUAUUAACAGUAUGAUUUCGAUAAAACCGAGCAGUUGUUUAUUUCAGCGGUAGACACUGACGGCUGUCAAUGUCAUUUGGUUUUUUUUGUCCAUGGUUCCGUAACAGACGGUCGGUCACACUUGUUGUACGACAAUAAACAUAUAAUUGUGGUUCUUUUAUCUUUUUAUAAUUUCCAAUUAUUAAUAAAGUCCAUAUUAUUAGCUUCCCAAAAUGAGUAACUCUUUUUAUUGUUGAUGUUUCGAAUUAUUCCGAGAGUCAAACCGGUCAGUCGUGGUAUCCCUUGAAUGGGAAGUUUUUCAUUCAUCAGUUUGUCUGUGGUUUCUCGGAUUGGAAUUUUGAUAAAUCAUUGUUCGAUCGAUCUUCAGGAUGUGAAGGAUCUUAGAAAAUCUUUGGACAAUCAAUCUUAGGGGUAUGUAACCUACUUGAAGGUUUUAUUUCCUAAAACUGUGGUAAAUUCAAGUUAGUAAUCGUUAAUGUAAUUUUGUUACAGCUCGUCCCAAAAUGUGCAUAAUUUAGCGUCUUAGAGCCUACCUAAAAUGGCGGCUGCUAAUCUUUUCCCUUCAAUUUAACAUAACUUGCAAAACCUAAUGUAACGUCAACCACCUCUUCGUCUUGCCACGCGGUCUGCAGGCGCCGUCGUUGGUAUAGGAAAUAAUGGACCCGGCAUAAACCCCGGUAAGUCAUUUAAUCGCUUCAUUGCCGUAAUUUAAAUCGCGCUGUGCCUCAGUUUAAAAUAUAAUUUUUCUAUAAAACUAAACGUGUUAAAACAUAAUUUUUUUAACCUAGAACAUUUUCUUUGUUCUUAGGGUUUUUUCUGGACCCUGGUUUUUUCUGGACCCUGGUUCUCCUGGACCCUGGUUUUUCCUGGACCCUGGUUACUCUAAGGAUGUGCCAUCCGGUGGCAGCGUUCUUCUUGGCAGUGUCCGUGAAGUUAAGACUUUUAUGAUAUACCUUUAGUUAAAUAUGGACCCUUUAUGCUGAACAGGUAACCUGUAAUCCCUGUGAGCAAUUGCUUACUGCUAAACAUCCCCGGAGGUUGGGGCAUAACUUUUACUUUAGACAGUGUUAUGUUAGGAAGACAAAUUUUGAUAUUGUUGUCCGUAGACACAGAGAUGUCUAUGAUGUAUUUAGUGUAAAUUUCAAGAAAUAGUGGUGUCACUAAGAAGUAUUUAGUAUUACUUAUUUACUAAUAAAUAACUCGUGUUGACCGUAGCGGGUCAUAUAUAUUUAAGGAAUAAAGGUGUGUAUUAAAUAAA